rnacentral:rRNA from 1 species
AGAGUUUGAUCCUGGCUCAGGAUGAACGCUAGCGGCAGGCCUAAUACAUGCAAGUCGAACGGGGCUUGGUAGCAAUACCAAGUUCAGUGGCGCACGGGUGCGUAACGCGUAUGCAACCUACCUUAAACUGGGGGAUAGCCCGUCGAAAGACGGAUUAAUACCGCAUAAUACCUUUUGAUGGCAUCUGAAGAAGGUUAAAGAUUUAUUGGUUUAAGAUGGGCAUGCGUGCCAUUAGCUAGUUGGAGAGGUAACGGCUCACCAAGGCUACGAUGGCUAGGGGUUCUGAGAGGAUGAUCCCCCACACUGGUACUGAGAUACGGACCAGACUCCUACGGGAGGCAGCAGUAGGGAAUAUUGGGCAAUGGACGGAAGUCUGACCCAGCCAUGCCGCGUGCAGGAUGAAGGCCUUCUGGGUUGUAAACUGCUUUUAUCUGGGAAGAAAACACCCAUGCGUGGGAAACUGACGGUACCAGAUGAAUAAGCACCGGCUAACUCCGUGCCAGCAGCCGCGGUAAUACGGAGGGUGCAAGCGUUGUCCGGAUUUAUUGGGUUUAAAGGGUGCGUAGGCGGCCCGUUAAGUCCGUGGUGAAAGCCUCCAGCUCAACUGGAGAACUGCCAUGGAUACUGGCGGGCUUGAGUACAGACGAGGUUGGCGGAAUUGAUUGUGUAGCGGUGAAAUGCAUAGAUACAAUCAAGAACUCCGAUUGCGUAGGCAGCUAACUAGGCUGUAACUGACGCUGAGGCACGAAAGCGUGGGGAGCGAACAGGAUUAGAUACCCUGGUAGUCG